UAAAUAAACCAGAUGUAAGAGA
rnacentral:misc_RNA from 1 species